GAAAUGAGCAAUUUUGGGUCAUUGGUGGUAUAUCAGCUCACCUCUUUGCUGUUGUGCAAGGUCUUCUGAAGGUUUUAGCCGGUAUUGACACAAACUUCACAGUUACAUCCAAGGCAACUGACGAUGAAGAGUUUGGAGAACUAUACACUUUUAAAUGGACAACGCUCCUGAUACCUCCAACUACCAUCCUAAUCAUCAACCUUGUUGGCGUUGUUGCUGGAGUUUCAGAUGCCAUAAACAAUGGAUACCAAUCAUGGGGGCCAUUAUUUGGGAAGCUCUUCUUUGCCUUCUGGGUGAUUGUCCAUCUCUACCCAUUCCUGAAAGGUCUGAUGGGACGGCAAAAUAGGACACCAACCAUUGUUGUUAUCUGGUCUGUUCUCUUGGCUUCAAUCUUCUCCUUGCUUUGGGUUCGAAUAGACCCAUUUGUCAUGAAAACCAAGGGUCCUGACACCAAAAAAUGUGGAAUCAACUGCUAAGAAGUUCGUUUUAUAUGUGCAUCUCUGGAAGAUA
rnacentral:misc_RNA from 1 species